GAGUAACGCGUGAGGAACCUGCCUCAAAGAGGGGGACAACAGUUGGAAACGACUGCUAAUACCGCAUAAGCCCACGACCCGGCAUCGGGAAGAGGGAAAAGGAGCAAUCCGCUUUGAGAUGGCCUCGCGUCCGAUUAGCUAGUUGGUGAGGUAACGGCCCACCAAGGCGACGAUCGGUAGCCGGACUGAGAGGUUGAACGGCCACAUUGGGACUGAGACACGGCCCAGACUCCUACGGGAGGCAGCAGUGGGGAAUAUUGCACAAUGGGGGAAACCCUGAUGCAGCGACGCCGCGUGGAGGAAGAAGGUCUUCGGAUUGUAAACUCCUGUUGUUGAGGAAGAUAAUGACGGUACUCAACAAGGAAGUGACGGCUAACUACGUGCCAGCAGCCGCGGUAAAACGUAGGUCACAAGCGUUGUCCGGAAUUACUGGGUGUAAAGGGAGCGCAGGCGGGAAGACAAGUUGGAAGUGAAAUCCAUGGGCUCAACCCAUGAACUGCUUUCAAAACUGUUUUUCUUGAGUAGUGCAGAGGUAGGCGGAAUUCCCGGUGUAGCGGUGGAAUGCGUAGAUAUCGGGAGGAACACCAGUGGCGAAGGCGGCCUACUGGGCACCAACUGACGCUGAGGCUCGAAAGUGUGGGUAGCAAA
rnacentral:rRNA from 1 species